rnacentral:rRNA from 1 species
AAGCGUGCGCAGGCGGCUUUGCAAGACAGAGGUGAAAUCCCCGGGCCUCAACCUGGGAACUGCCUUUGUGACUGCAAGGCUAGAGUACGGCAGAGGGAGAUGGAAUUCCGCGUGUAGCAGUGAAAUGCGUAGAUAUGCGGAGGAACACCGAUGGCGAAGGCAAUCUCCUGGGCCUGUACUGACGCUCAUGCACGAAAGCGUGGGGAGCAAACAGGAUUAGAUACCCUUGU